CCUACGGGUGGCAGCAGUGGGGAAUAUUGCACAAUGGGGGGAACCCUGAUGCAGCGACGCCGCGUGAGUGAAGAAGUAUUUCGGUAUGUAAAGCUCUAUCAGCAGGGAAGAAAAUGACGGUACCCGACUAAGAAGCCCCGGCUAACUACGUGCCAGCAGCCGCGGGAAUACGUAGGGGGCAAGCGUUAUCCGGAUUUACUGGGUGUAAAGGGAGCGCAGACGGCUGUGCAAGUCUGGAGUGAAAGGCGGGGGCCCAACCCCCGGACUGCUCUGGAAACUGUAAAGCUGGAGUGCAGGAGAGGUAAGCGGAAUUCCUAGUGUAGCGGUGAAAUGCGUAGAUAUUAGGAGGAACACCAGUGGCGAAGGCGGCUUACUGGACUGCAACUGACGUUGAGGCUCGAAAGCGUGGGGAGCAAACAGGAUUAGAUACCCCAGUAGUC
rnacentral:rRNA from 1 species